GUUUCAACUAAACGGAUAUGUUUUCCUCGCACUGGAGAGUCCCUUUAAGCUGUAGUGGUUCUUUCGCUUAGGUUGCCUCCGUAACUCAUAAAUGCCACAUAACUGAGUGGUUAUAGCCUGGGCAUGAUCUAUACACCAAAACAGCCUGAUUAAGCUAACGUUGCCUUGGUGUUUAAUGUCCUUUAAUGGUAGCAACCCCCAGUGUCUAGAAGUGUCAGGCGGAGGAAAUGUACAG